AGUAAGGUGGCUGAGAUUUAUAUAGGCGAUAAAUUGUAAAUUUAUUUACAGGUUAAACCUCUUUACUA
rnacentral:tRNA from 1 species